UUGAUCCUGGCUCAGAAUCAACGCUGGCGGCGUGCCUAACACAUGCAAAUCGAACGCGAAAGCCCAGCAAUGGGCCGUAGCGUGGCAAACGGGUGAGUAUCGCGUGGGCGACCUACCCUCGAGUGGGGGAUAACCUUCCGAAAGGAGGGUUAAUACCGCAUGACAUUCCGUGUUUGGAUACAUGGAAAUCAAAGCCGGGUAUCGUAAGACCUGGCGCUUGAGGAGGGGCCCGCGUCCGAUUAGCUAGUUUGCGAGGUAACGGCUCACCAAGGCUCCGAUCGGUAUCCGGCCUGAGAGGGUGGACGGACACACUGGAACUGAGACACGGUCCAGACUCCUACGGGAGGCAUCAGUGGGGAAUUGUUCGCAAUGGGCGCAAGCCUGACGACGCAACGCCGCUUGGAGGAUGAAGACCUUCGGGUCGUAAACUCCUUUCGACCGAGAUGAAGUCCUCUCGACCUAACACGUCGAGAGAUUGACAGUAUCGAGGGAAGCAGCCUCGGCUAACUCCGUGCCAGCAGCCGCGGUAAUAAGGU
rnacentral:rRNA from 1 species